rnacentral:SRP_RNA from 1 species
GCUGGGCACGGUGGCUUGUGCCUGUAAUUCCAGCUCCCUGGGAGGCUGAGGCUGUAGGAUUGCUUAAGCUCAGGAGUUCUGGGCUGCAGUUGGUCAUGCUGAUCAGGUGUCCACACUAAGGUCAGCAUCAAUAUGGUGACUUGUGGGAAGCUGCAGGUUACCAGGUUGUCUAAGAAAGGGUGAACCGGCCCAGGUCAAGAAUGGAGCAGGCCAAAGCUCCUAUGCUGAGGAUAGUAGUGGGAUUGCACCUGUGGUUGGUCCCUGCAGCACAGCCUUGGGAAGAGAGUAAGACACAGUCUCU